UACGUAGGGUGCGAGCGUUAAUCGGAAUUACUGGGCGUAAAGCGCGCGCAGGCGGCGAUCUACGUCUGGGGUGAAAGCCCGGAGCUCAACUCCGGGACUGCCUUGGAUACGGGAUCGCUUGAGGAUUGGAGAGGCAAGGGGAAUUCCACGUGUAGCGGUGAAAUGCGUAGAGAUGUGGAGGAACACCUGUGGCGAAGGCGCCUUGCUGGCCAAUUACUGACGCUGAGGCGCGAAAGCCAGGGGAGCAAACGGG
rnacentral:rRNA from 1 species